rnacentral:rRNA from 1 species
UAAAGCGUAAAGCGGUGAAAGAUGGACUCGCGUCCCAUUAGUUAGUUGGUGAGGUAACGGCUCACCAAGACAGCGAUGGGUAGCCGGCCUGAGAGGGUGAACGGCCACACUGGAACUGAGACACGGUCCAGACUCCUACGGGAGGCAGCAGUGGGGAAUAUUGCACAAUGGAGGAAACUCUGAUGCAGCGACGCCGCGUGAACGAUGAAGGCCUUCGGGUCGUAAAGUUCUGUCCUAGGGGACGAUAAUGACGGUACCCUAGGAGGAAGCCCCGGCUAACUACGUGCCAGCAGCCGCGGUAAUACGUAGGGGGCGAGCGUUGUCCGGAAU